rnacentral:misc_RNA from 1 species
GAUGAAGAACGCAGCGAAAUGCGAUAAGUAAUGUGAAUUGCAGAAUUCAGUGAAUCAUCGAAUCUUUGAACGCACAUUGCGCCCGUCAGUAUUCUGGCGGGCAUGCCUGUUCGAGCGUCAUUACGCCCUCAAGUCCCCUGUGGACUUGGUGUUGGGGAUCGGCGAGGCUGGUUUUCCAGCACAGCCGUCCCUUAAAUUAAUUGGCGGUCUCGCCGUGGCCCUCCUCUGCGCAGUAGUAAAACACUCACAACAGGAGCCCGGCGCGGUCCACUGCCGUAAAACCCCCCAACUUUUUAUAGUUGACCUCGAAUCAGGUAGGACUACCCGCUGAACUUAAGCAUAUCAAUAAGCGGAGGA